rnacentral:rRNA from 1 species
UACGAAGGGGGCUAGCGUUGUUCGGAAUUACUGGGCGUAAAGCGCGCGCAGGCGGCUAUCCAAGUCAGUGGUGAAAGCCCGGAGCUCAACUCCGGAACUGCCAUUGAAACUGUUUAGCUUGAGGAUGAGAGAGGUGAGUGGAAUUCCCAGUGUAGAGGUGAAAUUCGUAGAUAUUGGGAAGAACACCGGUGGCGAAGGCGGCUCACCGGCUCAUUACUGACGCUCAGGCGCGAUAGCGUGGGGAUCAAACAGG